rnacentral:rRNA from 1 species
GGCUCCGGCCCUAUCAGCCUGAAGGCGCCCGAUCUCGUCUGAUCUCGGAAGCUAAGCAGGGUCGGGCCUGGUUAGGAUCUUGGAUGGGAGACCACCUGGGAAUCCCGGGU